rnacentral:rRNA from 1 species
AAGUCGUAACAAGGUCUCCGUAGGUGAACCUGCGGAGGGAUCAUUAACGAAUUUGGGCCCCAAUUGGAUCCAUCAUCCCCCUCAAACCUGUGGAAGUGAGAUGUGUUUCGGCGCCCAGAGGCGCCGAAUCUAUGCCGUUUAGCUUGUGUCUGAAGUAAAAACAGAUUUAAAACUUUCAACAACGGAUCUCUUGGUUCUGGCAUCGAUGAAGAACGCAGCGAAAUGCGAUAAGUAAUGUGAAUUGCAGAAUUCAGUGAAUCAUCGAAUCUUUGAACGCACAUUGCGCCCCUUGGUAUUCCGAGGGGCAUGCCUGUUCGAGCGUCAUUAUAACCACUCAAGCCUUGGCUUGGUGUUGGAGUACGUGGUCCCACGGCUCCUAAAAUCAGUGGCGGUGCCAUCUGGCUCUAAGCGUAGUAAAUCUCUCGCUAUAGGGUCUUGGUGGAGACUUGCCAGAAACCUCUAACUCUUCUUGGUUGACCUCGGAUCAGGUAGGGAUACCCGCUGAACUUAA